rnacentral:rRNA from 1 species
GAGGAAAAGAAUCAAACCGCGGAUGCGAGGAGUGUUCCGAAAGAAGCGGCGAGCCGAAAAUGGGACUAGCCCUUAAGCUUUACACGCGUUAGACGAACGGUCGGAAAAGUCCGACGACUACAGGGUGAUAUCCCCUAGUUGACGACGUGAGUCAGUGAAAUGCGAGCAGGCGACUGCGACACGUGAUAUCACUGUCUCGAAAAUAUGGGGGAGCCCAUCCUCCAAGGCUAAAUACUACUGACUGACCGAUAGUGAACCAGUACCGUGAGGGAAAGGCGAAAAGAACCCCUGUGAGGAGGAGUGAAAUAGAACCUGAAACCGUGUAAACGUACAAGCAGUAAGGAGCAGCGUUGUGUCCUGUGACUGCGUACCUUUUGUAUAAUGGUCAGCGACUUAUAUUCAGUGGCAAGGUUAACCAUCUAGGGGAGCCGUAGGAAACCGAGUCUUAACUGGGCGUUCAGUCUCUGGAUAUAUGACCGCGAACCAGGUGAUCAGCCAUGGGCAGGUUGAAGGUUGAGUAACAUCAACUGGAGGACCGAACCGACUAAUGUUGAAAAUUAGCGGAUGACUUGUGGCUAGGGGUGAAAGGCCAAUCAAACCUGGAGAUAGCUGGUUCUCCCCGAAAGCUAUUUAGGUAGCGCCUCGGACGAAUACUACUGGGGUAGACACUGUUAAGGCUAGGGGGUCAUCCCGACUUACCAACCCUUUGCAAACUCCGAAUACCAGUAAGUACUAUCCGGAGACACACGGCGGGUGCUAACGUCCGUCGUGGAGAGGGGAAACAACCCAGACCGCCAGCUAAGGUCCCAAAUUACUACUAAGUGGGAAACGAUGUGGGAAGGCUCAGACAGCCAGGAUGUUGGCUUAGAAGCAGCCAUCAUUUAAAGAAAGCGUAAUAGCUCACUGGUCGAGUCGGCCUGCGCGGAAGAUGUAACGGGGCUAAGUAGUAAACCGAAGCUGCGGCAAUGUGCUUUUGCACAUUGGGUAGGGGAGCGUUCUGUAAGCGGUUGAAGGUGUGUGGUAACGCAUGCUGGACGUAUCAGAAGUGCGAAUGCUGACAUGAGUAACGAUAAAGGGGGUGAAAAACCUCCUCGCCGGAAGACCAAGGGUUCCUGUCCAACGUUAAUCGGGGCAGGGUAAGUCGACCCCUAAGGCGAGGCCGAAAGGCGUAGUCGAUGGGAAACGGGUUAAUAUUCCCGUACUUCUUACAAUUGCGAUGGGGGACGGAGAAGGCUAGGUGGGCCUGGCGACGGUUGUCCAGGUUCAAGUGCGUAGGCUUAAGAGUUAGGUAAAUCCGGCUCUUUUUAAGGCUGAGACACGACGUCGAGCAUCUACGGAUGUGAAGUCAUUGAUGCCAUGCUUCCAGGAAAAGCCUCUAAGCUUCAGAUUGUAAGGAAUCGUACCCCAAACCGACACAGGUGGUCGGGUAGAGAAUACCAAGGCGCUUGAGAGAACUCGGGUGAAGGAACUAGGCAAAAUGGUACCGUAACUUCGGGAGAAGGUACGCUCUCGACGGUGAAGUCCCUCGCGGAUGGAGCUAUUGAGAGUCGCAGAUACCAGGUGGCUGCAACUGUUUAUUAAAAACACAGCACUGUGCAAAAUCGUAAGAUGACGUAUACGGUGUGACGCCUGCCCGGUGCCGGAAGGUUAAUUGAUGGGGUUAGACUUCGGUCGAAGCUCUUGAUCGAAGCCCCGGUAAACGGCGGCCGUAACUAUAACGGUCCUAAGGUAGCGAAAUUCCUUGUCGGGUAAGUUCCGACCUGCACGAAUGGCGUAAUGAUGGCCACGCUGUCUCCACCCGAGACUCAGUGAAAUUGAAAUCGCUGUGAAGAUGCAGUGUACCCGCGGCUAGACGGAAAGACCCCGUGAACCUUUACUACAGCUUGGCACUGAACAUUGACCCUACAUGUGUAGGAUAGGUGGGAGGCUUUGAAGCACGUACGCCAGUAUGUGUGGAGCCGUCCUUGAAAUACCACCCUUGUAGUGUUGAUGUUCUAACGUCGACCCCUUAUCGGGGUUGCGGACAGUGCCUGGUGGGUAGUUUGACUGGGGCGGUCUCCUCCCAAAGAGUAACGGAGGAGCACGAAGGUGGGCUAAUCACGGUUGGACAUCGUGAGGUUAGUGCAAUGGCAUAAGCCCGCUUGACUGCGAGAAUGACAAUUCGAGCAGGUGCGAAAGCAGGUCAUAGUGAUCCGGUGGUUCUGAAUGGAAGGGCCAUCGCUCAACGGAUAAAAGGUACUCCGGGGAUAACAGGCUGAUACCGCCCAAGAGUUCAUAUCGACGGCGGUGUUUGGCACCUCGAUGUCGGCUCAUCACAUCCUGGGGCUGAAGUCGGUCCCAAGGGUAUGGCUGUUCGCCAUUUAAAGUGGUACGCGAGCUGGGUUUAGAACGUCGUGAGACAGUUCGGUCCCUAUCUGCCGUGGGCGUUGGAAGAUUGAAGGGGGCUGCUCCUAGUACGAGAGGACCGGAGUGGACGAACCUCUGGUGUUCGGGUUGUGUCGCCAGACGCAUUGCCCGGUAGCUAAGUUCGGAAUCGAUAACCGCUGAAAGCAUCUAAGCGGGAAGCGAGCCCUGAGAUGAGUCUUCCCUGAUACUUUAAGUAUCCUAAAGGGUUGUCGGAGACUACGACGUUGAUAGGUCAGGUGUGUAAGUGCUGUGAGGCAUUGAGCUAACUGAUACUAAUUGCCCGUGAGGCUUAACCAU